UCAGGCACAUGGAGAUGGGGUCCCAGGCUCAGAUGCUCUUUCUCCUGUUGCUCUGGAUCCCAGAUGCCCGAGGGGCCGUUGUGCUGACCCAGUCUCCAGCCUCUUUGGCUGUGUCUCCAGGAGAGAGAGUCACCAUGUCCUGCAGGGCCAGUCAGGAUAUUAGCAAAAGCAUACACUGGUACCAACAGAAACCAGGCCAGCCCCCUCGGCUCCUCAUUACUUAUGCAACCACCCUGCAGUCCGGGGUCCCUGCCCGGUUCAGUGGCAGUGGCUCUGGGACAGAUUUCUCUCUCACAAUCAGCAACACGGAGGCUGAGGACGCUGCAGUCUAUUACUGUCAGCAGAGCAGAAGCUUGCCUCCCACAGUGCUACAGCCCCAAACAAAAACCUGCCCAGCAGCUGCUGAAGGGGCAUCAGGGUCCCAGGAGUGUCUCCUUCCCCUCAGCCGGUUGGGGGGCAGCUUCUCUGGGCUGCCUCAGGGGGACGUUUCUUGAUCUGAGGAAGAUGCU